AAACUUUUAGGCUCUUGAAUUGAAAGAAAAGGGCCCGGAAUAGAGAUUUUCGAAUGAAUAUAGGUAAUGAGAACAUCAUCCCACUUUAUGGGUCUACGGGUUAUGUUUCGAAAAUCCAACCAUGCAUCUCGUAGGUGAUCCAUUAGAGAUCAUCUAUGCCCAAAAUGAAAAGAAUACGAAACAUUUAGGCUCUUGAAUUGUAAGAAAAGAUCCUGAAAUAUAGAAUUUCUAAUGAAUAUGGGUAAUGAGAACAUCAUCCCACUUUAUGGGUCUACGAGUUAUGUGGAUGCAAAUUUCUUUCUCCUUGCUCUUGGACAAAAUUGCACGUACAAAAUAAAUAACAUCUUAGGUCAAGGCUGUGGAUGCAAAUUUCUUCCUCCUUUGUCUUGGACAAAAUUGCACCUACAAAACGAAUAACACCUUAGGUUAAGGCCAAGAGCCUCACGCUCCCAUGAUGUUUGGGGGGGGGGGUUUGGUCGAAGAACCUCCGAUGCCAAAGUUAGAAUUUUGAGGGAAAAAUGUUUGGAGAAUUUAGAGAGUUUAGCAAGAGAAUUCGAAUUUGGUUUUCUAGAGAAAAUGGGGUGGUAUAUAUAAGGCAUGACCGGUCCCCUUGGGAGGGAAGGUUGUCGGCCCUUUGUGUAUUUUUUGUAAUUGGUAAUUUAAUUAGCCAUUUAAUAGAUUAAUUAUCUAAUAAAUCUAUUAAUUAGCUAUUAACAUAAUUUAAAAGGAAUGUUUUAGAGGUUACCUUGUGGAGAAGAUAUGUUAAGGAUGGAUGAAAUAAGUUUAAAAAUAAAUACCUAUUUGGGCACCUUUGACUUGAUUAAGGGAUGAUUGUCCAUUGCUCACGCGUAGGAAUCCCAAUGUGCCUCAAGGGUAAUUUUGUUCUUUUUACCCAAAAAUCCACAUGUCGCCUUGUGAAAAAAGCUCCACAAAGGACAAAAGCCUCACGCGCCCACGAUGAAUUGGGGAGGGGGCUUUGGCUGAAGAACCUCCGAUGCCAAAGUUAGAUUUUUGUGGGAAAAUUGUAUGGAAAAUUUAGAGAAUUUAGCAAGAGAAUUGGAAUUAGGUUUUGGAGAGAAUGGGGGUGUUUAUAUAGGGGUGUGGCCGUCCACCUUGGGAGGAGAUGGACCAGCCACUUGGAUGGUUUUGUGGGUGUAGUUCAUGAUUUGUGUUUAAUUAGGAAAUUAGUUGAAUAAUUAAUCAAUUAAUUAGCUAAUUAAUAUAAUAAAAAAGGAAUGAUUUAGGGGUUACCUUGUGGAGAAGAUUUGAUGAGGAUGGAUGAAAUAGGUUAUAAAUAAAUACUUAGUUUGGGCACUUUUGACUUGAUUGAGGGAUGAUUGUCCACUACUCGCGGGUAGGAAUUUCGGUGUUCCUUGAGGGUAAUUUUGUCCUUUUUACCCUAGAAUCCAUGUGUCGCCUUCAUAUUGUUCUUGAUUAUUUUUGGCUCCACAAAUGCCCCCACACUUGUUGGGCUGCUCGCAGGAAAGGGUAGCAGAUGUAGAGAUCUUCUUGCUUUAGGAAACGUAGGAUUGUUUCUAAUUUUGAUGUAGAGUCCCUUUUUAAUUCGAAAUUAGAUCCUUCUAGGAAAGGGAAAUAAAUCACUUCUAAAGUCUAUUUAAAUCUACCUUAAGUAGAUGAUUGAAUCAACUUUAGAGAGCAAUUUAUUCUACCCUACAAGAGAGAGAAAGCUAGAGGAUAUUUGUUCCCUUUCCCCUAGCAAUCUUCUACACUUGCCCGUGCAAAGGACCAUCUUUCAUUGCUUUCUUCGUCUUCUCCAUGCCACACCGAAGUAAGAAAAAAUUAUUUUUCCUUGUCUUCUUCUUCGAUAGUGUUAUCACGGGGCAGCCGUCGGGGUGGUGCGGCACGUAGGCUGGCAAGGACCAGGAGUUGGCUUGGCAUGGGCCGAGGAGGUCUUGUGGCACAGACCACUGCUUGGACUACUUGGUUUGGCUAAAGCCAAGGGCAUCUGUGCAACUGGGGCCACGGAUUAUGGCACUGGGGUGUAGUGCUACGCGAGUCGCAUUGCUUAUGUCCUUUAGGUUCUUGGGGCCCGGUUCCCCACGGAUUAGGCCUAGAAACCUAAAAUCCUUUAGUUAGCUAAGCCUUGAAAAAGACCAUUCUGGCUACUUCUUGGAAUCUUGGCGCAAGCCAUCGUGCAUCUAGUUAUACCAGGGCAGCUCGGCUCAUCCACAUUUGGAUAUUCGGAGUGUAAGUUUAUCCUCCCACGUUGGAGAACAGACCCAUGUAGGUGUCAGGGAAUUGGUUUACCCUCUCGCACUGAAGAGCAAUUAGUUUAUCCUCUUCCAUUGGAUAGCAGACGCAUAUGGUUGUCGGGGAAUUGGUUUACCCCUUUGCACUGGAGAGCAUGGUUGGUCCAUCGGGGGGUGCAAUUCCUGCAAUGAGUCCCUAAGAAGGGCACGAUCUUCUUUUGAAGUGCAAGAGUGAUACGUUGUUGUAAGCAUGUAGCCGAGCCAAGUUGUAUAUUACUUCUGAAUUCCUCAUUGAAAAACUAGUGAAAUGAACGAGAACUUAGCUGUAAGGUAUAAACUACAUAACAAUUGGAUAGUCCUCGACUUGUGAGGUAGUGCCUAUCAAGCUGCUUGAGUCUUCAGGCUUUGAUGUGGCGGGAGGUCACAUAUGAUACUUCCUCAUAUUGUAGGUGUUCCGCUGCUUUUCGAUCUCUUUGUCGUUCAUGGUGGCGAGGGUGUAAUUACCCUUGCCACCUACUUUGCUGAUCUUGUACGUACCUUCCCAGCUGGGAUCCAUCUUUUUGGAGCCUUCUCUGCAGGCAGUGAUGAAGGCUUUUCUUAGGACUAGAUCUUUGGGUUGGAACUACUAGAUCUUGCUCUUUUGUUGUAGCUAAAGAGGAGUUGUUGCUGGUAGGCUGCCAUGCGGGUGUUGGUCUGCUUGCGUUUCUCCUCUGCCAGAUCUAAGGUUGUGGCCAACUCUUUACUAUUUUGAUCGAUGUUUGGCAGUAGAGUGCUGAUACUUGGCAUGAUGACAUUGGGAGGAAUGAUUCUGAACCAAAUGCCAAAGAGAAAGGAGUCUCAUCGAUGGCUCAUCGUUUGGUGGUGCGAUAUGCCCAUAGACAUUCGGCGAGUUCAUCUGGCCAUUGUCCCUUUUUGUCUGAGAAGGAUUUCUUGAGGUUGUUGAGGAUUGUCUUGUUGGAUGCUUCGGCCUGCCCAUUGCCUUAAGGAUAUCUCAGCAUGGACAUGUGUUGCUUGAUGCCAUACUUUUGGAAGAACUUCGCCAAAUCUUUGCCCAUAAAUUGCGGUCCGUUGUUAGACGAUGGACUGAAGGAUGCCAAAUUGAGUGGGCAAGAAACUUAGUGCAUUUCUUGUGGGCGUUGUUUGCCCACAUAACUUGAGUGAGGGUGUAAGUCUAAAAUGCCUUAAGUUUCUUGCAUACUUUUUCUAAGUAUUGCACCUUCCUUGGAUGUUUUGCCUUGUGCUCCCCAAUAAUCUGGCCGGUGAUUAGCUGGGAAUCAGAAUGGAUUGCAAGCUUUUUCACCGCCAAGUCUUUUUCCAUUCAAGGACCUGCUAGUAAGGCUUUGUAGUUUGCUUCGUUGUUGGAUACCUUGAAGCCUAGAGUAAUCGUAUGCUUGAGCAUCGAACCGUCUGGGGUGACAAGGACCAUGCUUGCUUCCGAUCCUUUGUAGUUGGAUGCAUCGUCGACAUGCAAAUGCCAAAAGUCUCCAUUAGGCGAAGCAUGCGUGGCUAGGGUGUGCUUGGUUGCUUCUGAAGCACCAUUGGGUCGCUCUGUUACAUCCCCUAGGCUAGACAUGAAGGUGCGGUAGGGAGUCGUGCAGCUGGGGCCAUGUUACACGUAGUAGAAGAUGCUCAACUGCUGGUAUUGAGCCACUCUAGAGCUGAAUUAUGAAGCAAGGGUCAGCUAGGGCCAUGUGACGCGCAACAGGUGGUGGUACUCAACUGCCGGUACAUGUUGCUCUUAUGUAGAAUCUUCUAGGGCGACGAGGACAAAACUUGCUUCUAAGUGUCCUUCUAGUGUUCGUCUGCCCUUGACAUGCCUUUUAGGCUUAGUUGUUGCUUUCGUAAAAAAACGUUGUACCACCAGUGUCUGUGCCUUUAUUGUCGUGCAUCUGGAUUGGGAGAAAUAGUGCAUCAUGAGGAUGACUGCGUGCAUAUGAAGGUAUAACUUCAGCUUCUGGGUUGCAACAACUAUCGCCAAAGUUAGCUUUUGAAUUUCUGGUAGUUGGUUUCAAUAUCGAGGAAAGCUUUUGAACUAUGGAAUACAGGUAGUCGGGCCCCCAGCUCUUCUCAUAUGAUGGUUGAGCUUAUUGCUACUUCAGAUACCGUCAAACAAGCGAAUAGGUCCUCUGCUUCUUUCGGUUUGGAUAAUAAGGAGGUGAUGUCAGUACUCCUUCAAGUCCUUGAAUCUGGAUUGGCGAGCUUCAUCCCAAAGGGCAUGCUUAUCUGCCAGAGUGACAAAGUCAGCAAGAGUUAGGUCUUCUUUCAUGAUUAACUCCCCAAACAAUGGGUGGUCUGCUGGGAGUCCCUUUUGGAAGGCUACACUUGCUAUCGAGUCAUUGCAUUCGACUAUCUUUACCUUCUCUGCUUUGAACCUAUUUUGGGUUCUUCUUGAUGUUGACCACGUGGUAGGACUUUUUCUUGAUCGAGCGAUAGGAUGAAUAUCCUUUGGGGAAAACCAAAAAAAAUUCGUCGAAACUCCAUAUGGAUUGUGGCGGCAGGGUGUAGAUCUAAUCUUGCCCCUCACCUUGUAGAGUGGUGGCAAAUAUCUUGCACAUAAGAUCGUCAUUGUUUUGAUAGAGGAUCAUUGCGCUUCGGUAGUGCUUCCAAUGUCUCUUUGGGUCUCCAUCUCCUUUAAAGAUGUGAAAUGUGGCAUGCUAAACUCACAUGGAGGCUCUGCCUGCUCGAUCUCAUCUGUGAAGGGUGACUUACUUAUGUUGCUCAUGUCCCGUCGUAGUGCCUUGUCGGUGACCUCGUUGCGUUGGAAUCAUGCAAUCGCUUGGUCAAGAGACUCUCUACUUCUUCCUGAAUUUUCUUUUGUUAGGGUAAUGGAGCUCUCGGCUGCCUCCAGUCGUGACCUGCUGAUCUAGGUUAUUCUUAUAUGUACUUGGCUCGUCUAUGCCAUAGUUGCGGUGCAUGUGGUUCAUUCCUAGCAGGCGAGCGAAUUCUUCGCAAUCUGCUGAUUAAACUUUAGUCGAAUUGAGUGAGUGCUUUUCUCCGUUUAUCGUGCUACCUAUUUCAAUGUGAGGUGGAGGAUGCUCAUUGCAGGCCUAGCCAUGAAUGAACACUUCGCCUGGAAGGUUGUCCAUGUUGUUCAUUGGAGUGUGGUCCUAAUCAUGAGUGUAUACUCAUCUGUGGGCCUAGUCGAUAGUGUAUGCUCCUCCACACACUUAGAUGGGAGUAUACGCUAUCUCGGGGGCUUAGUCGGGAGUGUACACUGCCCAAACGCUCAGUUCAUGGUGGGUUGAGUGGAUGCUUGCUGGGACGUUGUUGGAGAGGUUCUUCAUCUGCCCUUGUCCUACUUCGGGACACCUCGUCUGGGGCGCAUUAGAUCUCAGUGCGCUCGUCAACUCUAUGAUUUUUCGAGACAAAUGUUGUUCUCCAUUUGGGUUGGAAGAGGUUGGAAGGAAUUCGUCUCCAUGAGCAGUGGAAGUGUGGUAGACUCCGGGUGCGAGAUUUGAGUUAGGAAAUGUCAAAUUCACGAAGAAAUACGGUGAAAAUGCCCCUAGUUCGAUCGUAGGCCCAGAAAUUUGAAGCUGGGAUGGUUAAACUAAUCUUGGACUAAUUUAGGCUGCUUGGAAAGCCAUGGGAGUAGGUUGGGUCGCAAGAGCAGGCUGGGCCACUGGAGUGCGCUGCUAGGCGUGUGGCACACGCGGAUGUGAGGCUUGGGCUCAGCUUCGCAACGUGUUGAGUUUGGACAGCAUAGUUCAGCUUAGCUAGGGCUUAGGCCCUUGAAGGUUUAAGUGGCACGGCUUGGGCCGUGGCCUUGGAGCCAUGGGUUUUGCCAAUGGUGGCUACCGUGGUGGUUACCACGGUGGUGCCUCGUGGGGGUGCCGCUCCGCUUACCACUAUGUUGAGCCUUGUAGUGGUCCGAAUCCUUGAACGUUGGAAUUUCCGUUUGUCAAGGUUUGCAAAUCAUUUGCCAUUGUACUUUUGUUUUAUGUUUUAUCAAAGAAUUUUUAGAAAUAAAAAUUCCAAAGAUAAGAAUGUACAAAAAAUCUACAAAUAAGCAAAGAAACAAAAAGACUUAGAUACGAGAGUCUUCUACGAGCGUGUGACUCAACUCUCAAUGAAAGCACCAAUUUGUGGAUGCAAAUUUCUUUCUCCUUGCUCUUGGACAAAAUUACACCUACAAAAUAAAUAAUAUCUUAGGUCAAGGUCAAUAGUCUAACGCACCCACGAUGAAGUGGGGGGGUGCUUUAGCUGAAGAACCUCCAAUGCCAAAAGUUAGAAUUUUGAGGAAAAAGUGUUUAGAGAAUUUAGAGAAUUUAACAAGAGAAUGGAAUUCAGUUUUGGAUACAAUGAGGGUGUUUAUAUAAGGGUGUAGCCAGCCACCUUGGGAGGAGAUGGACCAGCUACUUGGAUGGUUUUAGGGGUGAAGUUAAUGAUUUGUGUUUAAUUAGCAAAUUAAUUAAAUAAUUAAUCAAUUAAUUAGCUAAUUAAUAUAAUAAAACAAGAAUGAUUUAGGGGGUUACCUUGUGGAGAAGAUUUGAUGAGGAUGGAUGAAAUAGGUUAUAAAUAAAUACCUAUUUUUGGCACUUUUGACUUGAUUGUGGGAUGAUUGUCUGCUGCUCACGCGUAGGAAUUUUGAUGUUCCUCGAGGGUAAUUUUGUGCUUUUCACCCUAGAAUCCACAUAUCGCCUUCAUAUUCUUCUUGAUUAUUUUUGGCUCUGUUGAUGCACAAAACCGAAGGUCUUGGAACAACGUAAAUCCAACCGUGAAUCUGCAUGUAAUGUAAAUAACACAGGAUGUAUCGUGGUUCACCCCAAGGUUUGGGCUACGUCCACAUUGAUUGUAUUUCUCUGAGAGUAUUUGUGAGGGAGAGAGUGUGAGAGCUUUGCCCUAGAUAAGAGAGGCUUAGGAAAUGGCCUCCCUUAAUUAUGAGGGUGAGGGGUCCUUUUAUAGAAGAAGGACUCCUCACUUAUUACAUAUUUGCCCCUUCCUUUAUCACAUAAUUACAUUUAAGUCUCUCGAGUAUUUGUACGAGAUCUAAAUACGAGGCCCUAAAUAUGGUAUAAACAGUAGUCCCCCAAGUCUUCAGUCAAGAGAGUCUUUUGGCUGGAGACUUGAAAUUCAGUCCAUGUGUAGGCCGAAGUAACUAGAUGUUGUUUUGAACUGAUAUUCGAUAUGAGGCGGUGCUCAAUUUGAAAUGAUGCUCAACUAGAAGUAGCACAUACUGCUCGG
rnacentral:lncRNA from 1 species